GGUGGCAUAGUGGUUAGAGCGUCCUCCUUGGAUGCGGCAUGUCGUGGGUUCGAACCCCGGUAGAAUCA